UGGGGAAUAUUGCACAAUGGGCGCAAGCCUGAUGCAGCCAUGCCGCGUGUAUGAAGAAGGCCUUCGGGUUGUAAAGUACUUUCAGUCGGGAGGAAGGUGUCAAGGUUAAUAACCUUGGCAAUUGACGUUACCGACAGAAGAAGCACCGGCUAACUCCGUGCCAGCAGCCGCGGUAAUACGGAGGGUGCAAGCGUUAAUCGGAAUUACUGGGCGUAAAGCGCACGCAGGCGGUUGAUUGAGUCAGAUGUGAAAUCCCCGGGCUCAACCUGGGAACUGCAUCUGAUACUGGCAAGCUUGAGUCUUGUAGAGGGGGGUAGAAUUCCAGGUGUAGCGGUGAAAUGCGUAGAGAUCUGGAGGAAUACCGGUGGCGAAGGCGGCCCCCUGGACGAAGACUGACGCUCAGGUGCGAAAGCGUGGGGAGCAAACAGG
rnacentral:rRNA from 1 species